ACCUGCCUUGGCCUCCUGAAGUGCUGGGAUUACAGGCCUGGGCCACCAUGCCUGGUCUCCUCCUACCACUUUUGAAGGACUUUCCAGGAGAGAGGAGCUGCCUUUCUGCUGGAGUGGCUAAGUUGAGAUGACUCUGAACUGGAGAUGUUAUGUAUAUCUUUGCCACCACAUGAACACAGGCUGUCUGAGCAUAGAACAACAUGGAGAAAAGGCUCCCAGAGAUGGACACAGAGUGCCGGGGGUGUCAUGUGAGCCCCCAGAUCUGCCUUCUUGAAGUCAGAAUUAUCUCUGGACUUUUCUGUUGUGUAUGUCAAUACCUGUCCUUUACUUGUUGGGCUGGUUUGAGCUGGUUUCUGUCACUUGCACCCAGAAAAGUCCUACCUGAUACAUGAUUUUCCCAUUUCAAACUACAGUUACAUCUGCAAGAAAGACUCGGAUUACACUCCCACCCUACCCCUUCCCUCCUGAGGUUUGAACACUUCAGUCCUCAUGGGACCUAAAGAAUCGGGCCAACUCUUGGCUUUUUCUCUGUGUCUUCAGCAACAGCCUCCUUCCUGAUGGCUUCCAUACCAGAAGCCACACUGCUCCUGUCAUUUUCACCAGAACAUUCCUCCAACACAGAACCAGUUGUACCUGCAGAAAGGUCCAAGGCCUUGGUUUUGUGCCUGGCUCCCAGCCUCUCCCCGGCCCUGCUGGGUGACUCCCAGCUCCCAGCUCCCAGCUCCAUGCCUCUGCUCACAGGGAUUUCUCCACCAGGGCUGCCCUCACCUGUCCUCGCCAGAGGAAUUCCAUACUUUGUGGAAUGUGGCCUCCUUUGUGAGGUCCCCCUUCUGCAGCCUGUGCAGGCCUAGAUCAUUCCCUCUGCGAUGUGUGUGCAUGUCGGAGGGAGAGGAGUGUGGUGGCCAACAGCAUGGAUCCUGGAGCUGGACUGCCUGGCCAUAAAGCUUCUCUCUACCGUUCAUAGCCUUGCCACCUUGGGCAGGUUACCUCACCUCCUUAGGCCUCAGUAGUUCACUGCAAAAUGGGGAUGAUAAGACCUCCCAUGCAAAGUUAUUGUAUUUAAACCAGCUAAUCCAUGUACAGUACUUGGCACCAUUCUAUAGACACAGUCAACCCUCCAUAUGCGUUGCCCAGUUUUGGGACUGCUGUUUGUACUGAUUACGUAGAACUUGUUCACAUCUCUUGUACAGUGCAGUCCCUGACUCCUUUUACUCUCAAUCAUUGAUGUGACUAAUUUAUCUGAUAGGCUGUGAACUUCCUGAGACAGUGUCUAAUCAUUUCUGAAUGCCCAGUUCCAUGCAGACUGCCUGGUGCAUAGAAGGUGCACAGCUUGGACAACAGCACUGUCCUAUAUUGUGCACCUACUACGUGGCAAGCAUCAUGGUAGAUGCUUUGCACACAUUGUCUUUUUCAAAAUGCACACUGUCAAAUCCCAAAGAACUUAUUACCGUCCUCAUUCUUUUGAGAUAAGGGAGGGUCAGACAAGCCAAUAAGAUAGGCAACUUGCCUAAGGUCACAUGGUUGGAAAAAGGGCAGAACUGGGAUUCAAAUGCCAAAGGCAGGGUUGCUCUCCCCACAACCUCUAUGUCUUUGUCUCCCCAGGCCACACCCUUGGGGGAGCAAACCUCUGAGCCUCCAGAAGCAAGGGAUUGGCACCAACUGUAGGAAAUGUCUGCUCCGCUCCAGGGCACCUGCCCUCUGGGACUGCAGGCUGGGUGGGGGCUGCCAGUCCCCCAGGCAGGCUUGUCGGCUGCCCACUUGAAGUCUCACCAGGACUGCCAGUAGUAGACAGGACCCAAGGUGCACUGAGAGGGGCUCAGCUUCCCCCUCCCCUGAUCCAGCACUCCCAGUCUUUGUCACAAAUCAUGGUCUCUUUCCCAAGCGCUUUCCUCUUAGGAGGAGUUCUUGCCUCGGUCCUUGGCACACAGGCUCCUGGCAACUUCCUCCCUUGUUUGCUGACUCUGAAUGCUUCCGUAGGCUGUGUGGCCCACUUGGAAGGAAUAUUCAGGGGCAUGAGGUCCAGCAGCUGGUCAGGAAAUGAAGAUGCAUGCCCAGGGAGCUGGUGCAAGGGAAGAGCAGGGAGCGGACCCUGUGUGAUGAGGUGCCGGGAGUGGCCCCAGUUCUGCUGUUCCAGCUGCCCAUCCCCAGGUGCAGAUCAUAUUUUCUGCUUAGAGCAGAUUCCUUCCUGGGCAGACAUUGAGCACACAGCCAGCUGCAGUGGGCACCAGAGACAUUGCGUCCUUUCUACUCUUCAUGUCCUGAUCCCAGUGAUAAUCUUUGAGGCCCCAGUCGGUGGU
rnacentral:lncRNA from 1 species